rnacentral:rRNA from 1 species
CACGGUAGGAUUCGUGACUGGGGUGAAGUCGUAACAAGGUAGCCGUAUCGGAAGGUGCGGCUGGAUCACCUCCUUUCUAGA